rnacentral:rRNA from 1 species
UACGUAGGAGGCGAGCGUUGUCCGGAAUCAUUGGGCGUAAAGCGCGUGUAGGCGGUCCGGUAAGUCCGCUGUGAAAGUCGGGGGCUCAACCCUCGGAUGCCGGUGGAUACUGUCGGGCUUGAGUACGGAAGAGGCGAGUGGAAUUCCUGGUGUAGCGGUGAAAUGCGCAGAUAUCAGGAGGAACACCAAUGGCGAAGGCAGCUCGCUGGGACGUUACUGACGCUGAGACGCGAAAGCGUGGGGAGCAAACAGG